AACGCGAAGAACCUUACCAAGGUUUGACAUGCAGGGAAAAGCCGUAGAGAUACGGUGUCCGUAAGGGUCCUGCACAGGUGGUGCAUGGCUGUCGUCAGCUCGUGUCGUGAGAUGUUGGGUUAAGUCCCGCAACGAGCGCAACCCUCGUCCUAUGUUGCCAGCGGGUAAUGCCGGGGACUCAUAGGAGACCGCCGGGGUCAACUCGGAGGAAGGUGGGGAUGAGGUCAAGUCCGCAUGCCCCUUAUGUCUUGGGCUGCAAACAUGCUACAAUGGCCGGUACAAAGGGUUGCGAGACCGCAAGGUGGAGCGAAUCCCAAAAAGCCGGUCUCAGUUCGGAUUGGGGUCUGCAACUCGACCCCAUGAAGUCGGAGUCGCUAGUAAUCGCAGAUCAGCAACGCUGCGGUGAAUACGUUCCCGGGCCUUGUA
rnacentral:rRNA from 1 species